CCUACGGGUGGCAGCAGUGAGGAAUAUUGGUCAAUGGCCGAGAGGCUGAACCAGCCAAGUCGCGUGAGGGAAGACGGCCCUACGGGUUGUAAACCUCUUUUGUCGGGGAGCAAAGCGAGUCACGUGUGACUCAUUGAGAGUACCCGAAGAAAAAGCAUCGGCUAACUCCGUGCAAGCAGCCGCGGUAAUACGGAGGAUGAGAGCGUUAUCCGGAUUUAUUGGGUUGAAAGGGUGCGCAGGCGGAGGUGCAGGUCAGCGGUCAAAUGGCGGGGCUCAACCCCGUACUGCCGAUGAAACUGCAUGCCUUGAGUGCGCGAGAGGGAUGCGGAAUGCUUGGUGUAGCGGUGAAAUGCAUAGAUAUCACGCGGAACUCCGAUUGCGAAGGCAGCAUACCGGCGAGCAACUGACGCUCAUGCACGAAAGCGUGGGUAUCGAACAGGAUUAGAUACCCGGGUAGUC
rnacentral:rRNA from 1 species